rnacentral:rRNA from 1 species
AGUGAACGCUGGCGGUAGGCCUAACACAUGCGAGUCGAACGGCAGCACAGUAAGAGCUUGCUCUUACGGGUGGCGAGUGGCGGACGGGUGAGGAAUACAUCGGAAUCUACUUUUUCGUGGGGGAUAACGUAGGGAAACUUACGCUAAUACCGCAUACGACCUACGGGUGAAAGCAGGGGAUCUUCGGACCUUGCGCGAUUGAAUGAGCCGAUGUCGGAUUAGCUAGUUGGCGGGGUAAAGGUCCACCAAGGCGACGAUCCGUAGCUGGUCUGAGAGGAUGAUCAGCCACACUGGAACUGAGACACGGUCCAGACUCCUACGGGAGGCAGCAGUGGGGAAUAUUGGACAAUGGGCGCAAGCCUGAUCCAGCCAUACCGCGUGGGUGAAGAAGGCCUUCGGGUUGUAAAGCCCUUUUGUUGGGAAAGAAAAGCAGCAGGUUAAUACCCCGCUGUUCUGACGGUACCCAAAGAAUAAGCACCGGCUAACUUCGUG